CCAAACUUGGUCAUUUAGAGGAAGUAAAAGUCGUAACAAGGUUUCCGUAGGUGAACCUGCGGAAGGAUCAUUAAUGAAUGAACUCGGGUCGAAGCUGAUUGCUGGUCCUUAGGGGCAUGUGCACGCUUGGCUCUUGUUUUCAACCACCUGUGCACCUUUUGUAGAUCUCUGGAGUUCUUUGUCAACCUCUUGGUUGGAUUGGAGCAUUUGCAUUGCCUUUGCUCUGGAACCCCCGGGUCUAUGUUUUUCAUAUACACCUUUUUGCUUGUCAUUGGAAUGUUCAUUGGGGCCAUCCAGGCCUAUAAUAAAUUAAAUACAACUUUCAACAACGGAUCUCUUGGCUCUCGCAUCGAUGAAGAACGCAGC
rnacentral:misc_RNA from 1 species